CCUACGGGUGGCUGCAGUGGGGAAUAUUGGACAAUGGGCGAAAGCCUGAUCCAGCCAUGCCGCGUGUGUGAAGAAGGCCUUCGGGUUGUAAAGCACUUUCAGUGGGGAAGAAAGCCUUGGGGCUAAUACCCUCGAGGAAGGACAUCACCCACAGAAGAAGCACCGGCUAACUCCGUGCCAGCAGCCGCGGUAAUACGGAGGGUGCGAGCGUGAAUCGGAAUUACUGGGCGUAAAGCGCGCGUAGGCGGUCUGAUAAGCCGGUUGUGAAAGCCCCGGGCUCAACCUGGGAACGGCAUCCGGAACUGUCAGGCUAGAGUGCAGGAGAGGAAGGUAGAAUUCCCGGUGUAGCGGUGAAAUGCGUAGAGAUCGGGAGGAAUACCAGUGGCGAAGGCGGCCUUCUGGACUGACACUGACGCUGAGGUGCGAAAGCGUGGGUAGCAAACAGGAUUAGAUACCCUUGUAGUC
rnacentral:rRNA from 1 species